UCACAGACGCGUUCCACUGCGUUCGAAUGCUUGCCGCCGCCAUAUUGAGUACCUGCGCUGAGUACCUGAACCACACAGCAGAAUUUUUUCUGUCUCU